GCUGGCGGCAGGCCUAACACAUGCAAGUCCGAGCGCCCGCUAAGGGGANCGGCGGACGGGUGAGUAACACGUGGGAAUUUUCCNCAAGGUACGGAACAACUCAGGGAAACUUGGGCUAAUACCGUAUGAUGCAGAGAUGCCAAAGAUUUUAUCGCCUUGGGAUAAGCCCGCGUCAGAGUUAGGUAGUUGGUGGGGUAAUGGCCUACCAAGCCUGUGAUCUGUAGCUGGUCUGAGAGGACGAUCAGCCACAUUGGGACUGAGACACGGCCCAAACUCCUACGGGAGGCAGCAGUGGGGAAUCUUGCGCAAUGGACGAAAGUCUGACGCAGCCAUGCCGCGUGAAUGAUGAAGGUCUUAGGAUUGUAAAGUCUUUAGCCUGUGACGAUGAUGACGGUAACAGGAGAAUAAGCCCCGGCUAACUUCGUG
rnacentral:rRNA from 1 species